rnacentral:rRNA from 1 species
UACGUAGGGGCCAAGCGUUGUCCGGAUUUAUUGGGCGUAAAGAGCUCGUAGGCGGUUCAGCAAGUCGGGUGUGAAAACUCUGGGCUCAACCCAGAGACGCCACCCGAUACUGCUGUGACUAGAGUCCGGUAGGGGAGUGGGGAAUUCCUGGUGUAGCGGUGAAAUGCACAGAUAUCAGGAGGAACACCGGUGGCGAAGGCGCCACUCUGGGCCGGCACUGACGCUGAGGAGCGAAAGCGUGGGUAGCAAACAGG